AGCCCCCGUGCCUGACUGGUGUGAGGCCCGGACUGCAACUCCGGUGGGGCCGGUUCGAUUCCGGCCGGGGGCUU
rnacentral:tRNA from 1 species